GAUGAACGCUAGCUACAGGCUUAACACAUGCAAGUCGAGGGGUAACGAGAGGAAAGCUUGCUUUCCUUGUCGACGACCGGCGCACGGGUGAGUAACGCGUAUCCAACCUGCCCCCAACUAGGGAAUAACCUUGCGAAAGUAAGACUAAUACCCUAUAAUUUCCUCAGAUGUCAUCUGACGAGGAAUAAAGAUUUAUCGGUUGUGGAUGGGGAUGCGUCUGAUUAGCUUGUUGGCGGGGUAACGGCCCACCAAGGCAACGAUCAGUAGGGGUUCUGAGAGGAAGGUCCCCCACAUUGGAACUGAGACACGGUCUAAACUCCUACGGGAGGCAGCAGUGAGGAAUAUUGGUCAAUGGGCGGAAGCCUGAACCAGCCAAGUAGCGUGCAGGAUGACGGCCCUAUGGGUUGUAAACUGCUUUUAUACAGGAAUAAAGUUAACCACGUGUGGUUAUUUGUAGGUACUGUAUGAAUAAGGACCGGCUAAUUCCGUGCCAGCAGCCGCCGCGG
rnacentral:rRNA from 1 species